rnacentral:rRNA from 1 species
CGCAUCUGUGCAUGCAGCAUAUCAAUAAGCGGAGGAAAAGAAACUAACAAGGAUUCCCCUAGUAACGGCGAGUGAAGCGGGAAGAGCUCAAAUUUGAAAUCUUAAAGGGUUUCCCUUUACGAAUUGUAGUUUAAAGAAGUGUUUUCUGUUGAGGUUUUGGUAAAAGUUCUUUGGAAUAGGACAUCAUAGAGGGUGAGAAUCCCGUAUUUGACCUUUACUUUCAACUUUGUGAUACACUUUCAAAGAGUCGGAUUGUUUGGGAAUGCAGUCCAAAAUGGGUGGUAAAUUUCAUCUAAAGCUAAAUAUUGGCGAGAGACCGAUAGCGAACAAGUACCGUGAGGGAAAGAUGAAAAGAACUUUGAAAAGAGAGUUAAACAGUACGUGAAAUUGUCAAAAGGGAAGCGUUUGACACCAGUGUUGUUUUUCUGAAAAUCAAUUAAAGAACUGUUUAUGCUAAGCUGUCUAGACUUUAUCAGCUAUCUGUUUAGUUUUGAGCUUUUCUUUAAUGCACUUUUCAGUUAACAAGUCAACAUCAAUUUCUUUUGCUGUAAAAAAGCUUGAGGAAGGUGGCUUGAGAUUCGUCUUAAGUGUUUAUAGCCUCUUGCCUAUGCAGUCGGAGAGAUUGAGGUCUGCAGCGUAGAUCCUUCGGGGCUAAAUGCAUUUGUGCUAAGUUAUAGCAUUUUAUAGACAACUUGUUGACUAUGAUUUGUCUUGUAGCUUACUCGCUUAUGUUAUUUUACCUACGCUUAGGAUGUUGAGUCGUAGAGCACGCAG